rnacentral:lncRNA from 1 species
AUAAAACAAACAAACCUUCAGAAGACCUUACAUUAUCCUUCCUUGAUUUGUAUAUUAUAGAUGUUUUGAUGUUCUUCAAGUGGAAGAUUACCGCAUUGGCGAUCCAUUAGAUACUGUAUUAGGAACAAAGUGUUGAUGUCCUCUCGCCUAUGACCCCUAAGCAUCCCAAACCAGAAGUGUCUGCAGCCCAGCUACAAGAAGGAGACAUAGAAGAACCCUCUAUCCUUGGAACUUGGAAACAGCUACACUGGAUCCUGUGUGGAAGUUAAGGAGACUGUUGCUGUGGUGGGGGCCUGAGAACAUUAUUUCAUCCCAAUGUUGCUCUGACAUUUGUGUCUAAGAUUCAAGAAGAGUAAGAAAAAAAGGUAUGGAUGUGUACUUUUAACUUCUUAAUUUUUUAAGGCAAAUAUGGUACAUUUUAAAGAUUGAUUUUAUUGAUUUAUCUCCUACUGCCUUUGCUUUUCUGUGUGUCCUUUUCCCUUUUAAGGAAUAGCUUUAUCUUUAUGUAAUUUGUUGGGUAGACCAAGGUACUAUGAGGGAAAC